CUUUUUAAUUGAAGGCUGGAAUGAAAGGUAGAAACUGAAGGGUGUGUUUUAUUUAAUUAAUUUUGAAUUUAAAAUAAAAGUAAAAAUGCUUUUAUUAAGCUUUGGGACGAGAAGACCCUAAAAGCUUGAGAUUUUAUUUAAAUUUUUAAUUGGGGCAAUUGUUGAAGAUAUUAAUUUUUAAGAUAUAAAUGUAUUAAAUAGGAAAGUUACUUUAGGGAUAACAGCGUUAUUUAUUUUGAGAGUUCUUAUCAAUAAAUAAGUUUGCGACCUCGAUGUUGAAUUAAAAUUAAUUUUUGGUGUAGGAGCUAUUAUUAUUAGUCUGUUCGACUAUUAGAUAUUUACGUGAUCUGAGUU
rnacentral:rRNA from 1 species